UACGUGAGGGUGCGAGCGUUAAUCGGAAUUACUGGGCGUAAAGCGUGCGCAGGCGGUUCGUUGUGUCGGCGGUGAAAGCCCCGGGCUUAACCUGGGAAUGGCCGUUGAAACUGGCGAACUGGAGUGUGGCAGAGGGGGGUGGAAUUCCGCGUGUAGCAGUGAAAUGCGUAGAGAUGCGGAGGAACACCGAUGGCGAAGGCAGCCCCCUGGGCUAACACUGACGCUCAGGCACGAAAGGCGUGGGGAGCAAACAGG
rnacentral:rRNA from 1 species